CCAAUAGCGUAUAUUAAAGUUGUUGCAGUUAAAAAGCUCGUAGUUGGAUUUCGGGAUUAGUACGUCGGUCGUGCCUUAGGUACGUACUGGUGUUACUGGUUCCUACCUUCCGACGAACCAUCAUGUCAUUAAUUUGGUGUGGUGGGGAAUCAGGACUGUUACUUUGAAAAAAUUAGAGUGUUUAAAGCAGGCUCGCGCUUGAAUACAUUAGCAUGGAAUAAUGAAAUAGGACGUUGAUCCUAUUUUGUUGGUUUCUAGGAUUGACGUAAUGAUUAAUAGGGAUAGUUGGGGGCAUUAGUAUUCAAUUGUCAGAGGUGAAAUUCUUGGAUUUAUUGAAGACUAACUACUGCGAAAGCAUUUGCCAAGGAUGUUUUCAUUAAUCAAGAACGAAAGUUAGGGGAUCGAAGACGAUCAGAUACCGUCGUAGUCUUAACCAUAAACUAUGCCGACUAGGGAUCGGAUGAUGUUAUUUUUAAUGACUCAUUCGGCGCCUUACG
rnacentral:rRNA from 1 species